rnacentral:rRNA from 1 species
UACAGAGGGGGCAAGCGUUGUUCGGAAUUACUGGGCGUAAAGGGCGCGUAGGCGGCCUUCUAAGUCGAACGUGAAAUCCCUGGGCUCAACCCAGGAACUGCGUCCGAGACUGGGAGGCUAGAAUCCGGGAGAGGGAUGUGGAAUUCCAGGUGUAGCGGUGAAAUGCGUAGAUAUCUGGAGGAACAUCGGUGGCGAAGGCGGCAUCCUGGACCGGUAUUGACGCUGAGGCGCGAAAGCCAGGGGAGCAAACGGG